GCUUGAAUCCAAGAGGCAGAGGUUGCAGUGAGCCAAGAUUGCACCACUGCACUGCAGCCUGGGCAAAAAGAGCAAAACUCUGCCUCAAAAACCAAGCAUACAAAAAUUUAAGGCAUGGAAAAGUUAAAGACAUUGUUACCUGAACUUAAAUCGCUGGUUUAUCCUGGCAAGGCUGGCUCCAAAACCUAUGCUUUUAUCCAAAGUAACUGCUUUUAGGUCAGAAGAAGAUUUGACAUAUGGUGUUAUCAUAGUUCACCCACGACUAGUCUUGUGUUGGGAGACUCUAAGACAAAUGGUAAGAAGGUAGCCUUUUAUUAAAUGGUUAAUGUGUAUAUCAGGGUUUUUUUUUACUGAAGUCACAUCAAUGCUACUUCUUUAAGGUUAAUGAGAUGUUUAACUGAAUAUACCAAUUCUUCAUGUCUUUGUGAAAAGUUAGUCAUUUGUUAAAAAGUCAGGAACUAGACUAUGUGCUAGGAAUACAGUAAGCAAAGCAGCAAAAAAAAAAAAAAAUCUGACUUAGUGGAUCUUAUGUUAUAGUGGGAGGAAGGGCAGAAAAUUAACAAGUUAAAAUAAGGUGAUAAUAAGUACAGUGAGAAUAAACAGGAAAAGGAUAGAAAGUGCUAUGGGCCGGAGCUAAUGGAUGCUACUUUAAAUAGGGUAGUUAGAGAAGAGUUUAGCAAAAGAAGAUGGAGCAGAGACGUAAAGAAAGUGAGCCACAUGGAUAUGAGGGAAGACAGUUCCAUGCAGAGGAAACAGCAAGUGCAAAGGUCCCUGAGCUGACUGGAGGGAGCUAGGGGAAUACUAAGAGAUGAAGUCGCAGGAGUAGGCCUUGUAAGACAUUAUAAGGAUUCAUCUUUUUGCCUCAGUAAGAUAGAAAGCCAUUGGAGGGUUGAGGAAUAUUGAGCAGAGGAAUAAUGUGAUCAGGAUUAGUAAAUUUUCUGUGUCACAGAAUCCGGGGACCAGUCCUUUGUUGUGGCUUUGACACACUUGUGUAACAUAACUUUGGUUUGUUGGGAAGCAACCAAUGCUCUAUCUGAGGAGAAGAGACAGAAUUCAGGACUCAGCGGUGACUAGUGGCUGAGUAAGAAUCAGGCCUUUACUUCCAUAUGGG